UCCUACGGGACGCAGCAGUCGAGAAUUUUUCUCAAUGGGGGAAACCCUGAAGGAGCGACGCCGCGUGGAGGAUGAAGGUCUUCGGAUUGUAAACUCCUGUCAUUAGGGAACAAUUGUCACGCGUUAACUGCGCGGGGCUUGAUAGUACCUGAAGAGGAAGAGACGGCUAACUCUGUGCCAGCAGCCGCGGUAAUACAGAGGUCUCAAGCGUUGUUCGGAUUCAUUGGGCGUAAAGGGUGCGUAGGUGGCGUUGUAAGUCAGGUGUGAAAUCUCGGGGCUCAACCCCGAAACUGCACUUGAUACUGCGAUGCUCGAGUACUGGAGAGGAGAUUGGAAUUUACGGUGUAGCAGUGAAAUGCGUAGAUAUCGUAAGGAAGACCAGUGGCGAAGGCGAAUCUCUGGACAGUUACUGACACUGAGGCACGAAGGCCAGGGGAGCAAACGGGAUUAGAUACCCUGGUA
rnacentral:rRNA from 1 species